rnacentral:rRNA from 1 species
AUUGAACGCUGGCGGCAGGCCUAACACAUGCAAGUCGAACGGUAACAGGGAUCAGCUUGCUGAUUCGCUGACGAGUGGCGGACGGGUGAGUAAUGUCUGGGAAACUGCCUGAUGGAGGGGGAUAACUACUGGAAACGGAAGCUAAUACCGCAUAACGUCGCAAGACCAAAGAGGGGGACCUUCGGGCCUCUUGCCAUCGGAUGUGCCCAGAUGGGAUUAGCUAGUAGGUGGGGUAACGGCUCACCUAGGCGACGAUCCCUAGCUGGUCUGAGAGGAUGACCAGCCACACUGGAACUGAGACACGGUCCAGACUCCUACGGGAGGCAGCAGUGGGGAAUAUUGCACAAUGGGCGCAAGCCUGAUGCAGCCAUGCCGCGUGUAUGAAGAAGGCCUUCGGGUUGUAAAGUACUUUCAGCGGGGAGGAAGGGAGUAAAGUUAAUACCUUUGCUCAUUGACGUUACCCGCAGAAGAAGCACCGGCUAACUCCGUG